rnacentral:rRNA from 1 species
UACGUAGGGGCCUAGCGUUGUCCGGAUUUAUUGGGCGUAAAGAGCUCGUAGGCGGUUCGGUAAGUCAGGUGUGAAAUCUCCACGCUCAACGUGGAGGCGCCACCUGAAACUGCCGUGACUCGAGUCCGGUAGGGGAGUGUGGAAUUCCUGGUGUAGCGGUGAAAUGCGCAGAUAUCGGGAGGAACACCUGUGGCGAAAGCGGCUCACUGGACCACAACUGACGCUGAGGCGCGAAAGCUAGGGGAGCAAACAGG